GUUUCUGUAGUGUAGUGGUUAUCACGUUCGCCUAACACGCGAAAGGUCCCUGGUUCGGUUCCAGGCAGAAACA
rnacentral:tRNA from 1 species